GAUGAACGCUGGCGGCGUGCCUAAUACAUGCAAGUCGAGCGAACGGACGAGGAGCUUGCUUCUCUGAUGUUAGCGGCGGACGGGUGAGUAACACGUGGAUAACCUACCUAUAAGACUGGGAUAACUUCGGGAAACCGUAGCUAAUACCGGAUAAUAUUUUGAACCGCAUGGUUCAAUAGUGAAAGACGGUCUUGCUGUCACUUAUAGAUGGAUCCGCGCUGCAUUAGCUAGUUGGUAAGGUAACGGCUUACCAAGGCAACGAUGCAUAGCCGACCUGAGAGGGUGAUCGGCCACACUGGAACUGAGACACGGUCCAGACUCCUAAGGGAGGCAGCAGUAGGGAAUCUUCCGCAAUGGGCGAAAGCCUGACGGAGCAACGCCGCGUGAGUGAUGAAGGUCUUCGGAUCGUAAAACUCUGUUAUUAGGGAAGAACAUAUGUGUAAGUAACUGUGCACAUCUUGACGGUACCUAAUCAGAAAGCCACGGCUAACUACGUG
rnacentral:rRNA from 1 species